GGGCGUUCCCCUUCGGGGGACAGGGUGACAGGUGGUGCAUGGUUGUCGUCAGCUCGUGUCGUGAGAUGUUGGGUUUAAGUCCCGCAACGAGCGCAACCCUCGACCUUAGUUGCCAGCAUUCAGUUGGGCACUCUAAGGUGACUGCCGGCUAAAAGUCGGAGGAAGGUGGGGAUGACGUCAAAUCAUCAUGCCCCUUAUGACCUGGGCUACACACGUGCUACAAUGGGCGGUACAAAGGGUCGCGAACCCGCGAGGGGGAGCCAAUCCCAAAAAGCCGCUCUCAGUUCGGAUUGCAGGCUGCAACUCGCCUGCAUGAAGCCGGAAUCGCUAGUAAUCGCGGAUCAGCAUGCCGCGGUGAAUACGUUCCCGGGCCUU
rnacentral:rRNA from 1 species